GAUGAACGCUGGCGGCGUGCCUAAUACAUGCCAGUCGAGCGAACGGACGAGAAGCUUGCUUCUCUGAUGUUAGCGGCGGACGGGUGAGUAACACGUGGAUAACCUACCUAUAAGACUGGGAUAACUUCGGGAAACCGGAGCUAAUACCGGAUAAUAUUUUGAACCGCAUGGUUCAAAAGUGAAAGACGGUCUUGCUGUCACUUAUAGAUGGAUCCGCGCUGCAUUAGCUAGUUGGUAAGGUAACGGCUUACCAAGGCAACGAUGCAUAGCCGACCUGAGAGGGUGAUCGGCCACACUGGAACUGAGACACGGUCCAGACUCCUACGGGAGGCAGCAGUAGGGAAUCUUCCGCAAUGGGCGAAAGCCUGACGGAGCAACGCCGCGUGAGUGAUGAAGGUCUUCGGAUCGUAAAACUCUGUUAUUGGGAAGAACAUAUGUGUAAGUAACUGUGCACAUCUUGACGGUACCUAAUCAGAAAGCCACGGCUAACUACGUG
rnacentral:rRNA from 1 species